rnacentral:lncRNA from 1 species
AUGCCCAAGAAAAAGGUCAGCUCCACCGAAGGGGCUGCCAUGGAAGAGCCCAAGAGGAGAUCAGCGCAAUUGUCAGCUAAACCUCCUGCAAAAGUGGAAGCGAAGCCGAAAAAGGCAGCAGCGAAGGAUAAAUUUUCAGACACAAAAGUGCAAAAAAAGGGAAAAGGGGAGCAAAGGGAAAACAGGCCGAAGUGGCUAACCAAAAAACUAAAGAAGAUUUACCUGCAGAAAACAGGGGAAACGAAAACUGAGGAGAGUCCAGCCUCUGAUGAAGCAGGAGAUAAAGAAGCCAAGUCUGAU